UAAAUAGCCCGUAUUGCCUUGGCAGUACGCUGGCUUCUUAGAGGGACUAUCGGCUCAAGCCGAUGGAAGUUUGAGGCAAUAACAGGUCUGUGAUGCCCUUAGAUGUUCUGGGCCGCACGGUAUGUAAUCACUCUCCCUUUUAACCCCUUCCCUUUUUCUUGACACAUAACUAACGAGAUUUAUAGCGCGUUACACUGACAGAGCCAGCGAGUUCUUCCU
rnacentral:rRNA from 1 species